AUUCAGCCCGCGCUUAUCGAGUGUUUUCUUCAUGCACGCACGCGCGUACCUCGCAUGGCGUGCGUCGCAUAUGCGCUUCCAUGGAUAGCGCAUCUCAGUGCUGAUCGGAACUCACGUCGUGCGGAUUAAUCCGUCCAACAUGGCUCCACAGUGCGCGCAUCCUGAGCACCAAUUGUUAUCUGGGAUAUGCAAGGCAAUUCGUCCUUUAAAUAGUAAGAAUUCCUAAAACGAAUCCAAAAGGUGGUUUCUUGUCGAAACCUGUGGGAAACACCGCUUCUCUACCAAAUACUAACAUGUAAGGGGCAAAACCAGUACUUUCAUGGACAGCCCUAUUAUAAGAAAAAACGGCAAAUCGAAGCCAUUCACCCCAGUUGUGUGGACCGUAAAAAUGACGCAAAUACUCAAUAAGAGUAUGAUGACUACCUUCGAUUGAUCCAAGACUUUGAAGAUGGUAAUAUUAUGGUGGCGUGCGACAACAACGGAAAGUCCAAUUCUCCAAAAUGAAGACUAUCAUCUACAAAAUUUAGAUCAGCAUGAUGCUGCCACAAAGCACCAACUUCAAUAAUUCCACCCUGUUGAAUAGGAAAGGAUUCCGUAACAACUUGAAAAGGGGUCUCCAAGCCUUUUAUCGUUAAUUUUACUUCUCCCAAGAAUAAGGGUAACAAUUUGCUUCACUGUCACGUACGAGUGGCUACACUUCUUCAGUUCUGGUCUUCAAAAUUCAAAGAUGUUCUUUUGCUGACAAAACUGGUCCAAACUCCGGAGGCCAAAAUGAUCCAAGUUCCUGAUACUGCGUUGCCGUAACCCUCUUGUGGACCGAUCCCUCUUUGCCACAACCCUUCCCGGGCGGAUCUUCUCUC